CAAUAGCGUAUAUUAAAGUUGUUGCGGUUAAAAAGCUCGUAGUUGGAUCUCUGUUAGAGACGGCCGGUCCGCCUUUUGGGCGUGUAUCUGGUUCGGCUUUGGCAUCCUCUUGGGGAACGUACUGCGCUUGAUUGCGUGGUGCGGAAUUCAAGACUUUUACUUUGAGGAAAUUGGAGUGUUUACAGCAGGCAAACGCCCUGAACACAUUAGCAUGGAAUAAUAAUAUAGGGCCUCGGUUCUAUUUUGUUGGUUUCUAGAACUGAGGUAAUGAUUAAUAGGGAUAAUUGGGGGCGAUUCGUAUUAACGCGUCAGAGGUGGAAAUUACUUGGUAUUUGUUUAAAGAACGGACGUACUGCGAAAGCAUUUGUCCAAGGAUGUUUUCUAUUGAUCAAGAACGAAAGUUAAGGGGAGUCGAAGAGGAUUAGAUACCAU
rnacentral:rRNA from 1 species